rnacentral:rRNA from 1 species
GACGAACGCUGGCGGCGUGCCUAAUACAUGCAAGUAGAACGCUGAAGAGAGGAGCUUGCUCUUCUUGGAUGAGUUGCGAACGGGUGAGUAACGCGUAGGUAACCUGCCUUGUAGCGGGGGAUAACUAUUGGAAACGAUAGCUAAUACCGCAUAACAAUGGAUGACACAUGUCAUUUAUUUGAAAGGGGCAAUUGCUCCACUACAAGAUGGACCUGCGUUGUAUUAGCUAGUAGGUGAGGUAACGGCUCACCUAGGCGACGAUACAUAGCCGACCUGAGAGGGUGAUCGGCCACACUGGGACUGAGACACGGCCCAGACUCCUACGGGAGGCAGCAGUAGGGAAUCUUCGGCAAUGGGGGCAACCCUGACCGAGCAACGCCGCGUGAGUGAAGAAGGUUUUCGGAUCGUAAAGCUCUGUUGUAAGUCAAGAACGAGUGUGAGAGUGGAAAGUUCACACUGUGACGGUAGCUUACCAGAAAGGGACGGCUAACUACGUGCCAGCAGCCGCGGUAAUACGUAGGUCCCGAGCGUUGUCCGGAUUUAUUGGGCGUAAAGCGAGCGCAGGCGGUUUGAUAAGUCUGAAGUUAAAGGCUGUGGCUCAACCAUAGUUCGCUUUGGAAACUGUCAAACUUGAGUGCAGAAAGGGAGAGUGGAAUUCCAUGUGUAGCGGUGAAAUGCGUAAUAUAUGGGAGGAACACCGGUGGAGAAAACGGCUCUCUCGUCUGUAACUGACGCUGAGGCUCGAAGGCGUGGGGGAGCGAACGGGAUUAGGUACCCUAGUAAGCAAAGGGGAGUUGCGAAAGGAUAUAAGGGUUAUGAUUCGGUCACCUCAGGGCGGGCGCGCGCGCGGGUUUGAGCCCGUUUUUCGGGGGAAAAAAAUAUAUAUUACCCGCGCCGGGGGGGGGUUUUUUCCACCUUGGCCGCGCGAGGAAAAAGAAGAAAAAAAAAAAAUCCUUCUUUUUUAUAGUUUUUUUGAUGGGUGGGGGCGCCCCCCCCUCUUUUCUCCCUAAGGAUAAAAAGGAGAUGAGAGUUCUUUUGUUUGGGGGGCCCCGGGGAGGGUACUUUUUUUUGGGGGGGCCGCCACGGAGCACGCACUAUCUCUUAAAGAAUGUGUAACAUGCGCGCGGCCCACUCACUUUUUAUGAAAAAAGAAAAACCAG